rnacentral:snRNA from 1 species
GGGCUCACUUUGGUGGCACAUAUCCUACAAUUGGAACAAUUCAGAGCCAUUUAGCUUGGUUCCUGAGCAAGGGGGACACACAAAUUUCUGGUGUUCCAUUAUCUG